CCGGUUGGAAGAACGUCSGCUUGGAGGUCGUUCGAAGGUAGGUGGCGGGGGGUUCCGCGUUUUUGCGGCUUCUCCCCCGUUUUGGCCAGUUCGACCGGGCACGACGACCGACCGAGGGUUUACUUUCGUCCUCUAGCUAGCUGGUCGCUCUGCAGGUGACGAUCUGCGGACGUUCUCCGAUUCGCUGGUAUCGGUGAACGGUACUUCGGGGGCACCGUUUGGUGGAGCGACCGAAGCGGAGGGUUUCGGAAGGUUGGAGGCGAGACGAAUCGGUAACCCACCCGACCCGUCUUGAAACACGGACCAAGGAGUCUAACAUGUACGCGAGUCGGCGGGAUUUGCUCAGACUCGCAGGCGCAACGAAAGUAGAGAGUGUCGAGAUCCCUCCGUUUCUUUCGUUCGGAGGGCGCACCGACCACCUGUUCUAUCCGAAAUCUCGGACGAGCGGAGUGAGAGCGUACACGUUGGGACCCGAAAGAUGGUGAACUAUGCCCGGGCAGGACGAAGCCAGGGGAAACCCUGGUGGAG
rnacentral:rRNA from 1 species